rnacentral:rRNA from 1 species
UAGGUUGAGGAGGCGGUGACCGUGGUGGUUGAGGAGGAGGAUGAGGUAGCCAACACUGUUUUUUAUAUAUAUAUAUUUUUUUUUAAUUGGGGUAGCCCCCAAAAUAUUGGGACAUAUAAAAAAAGACAAAUCUGUUCCGCAGAGUAGCUGUUGACAUAGUUGCGCAGACACUUUGUUGACUCUAGAGAACCUUGGGUCAAUCGCACAUCCCAGUGGCGGAGACUUUGCAUGCGGAUCUCAUCCAUAUCAACUUUCGAUGCCAGUUUCUGCGCCUACCAUGGUGACCACAGGUAACGGGGAAUCAGGGUUCCAUUCCAUACAGGGACCCUGAGAAUCAGCCACCACAUGCAAGGAAGGCAGCAGGCGCGCAAAUGACCCACUCCCAAUGCGGGAAGGUAGUGACAACAAAUAACAAUACAGGACUCUUUAGAGGGCCUGUAAUUGUAAUGAGUUCACUUGAAAUCCUUUAACUCUGAUCAAUUAGAGAGAAGUCUGGUGCAAAGCCACUGACCCAUGCGUGCUGCAGCUGAA